UACGUAGGGGGCAAGCGUUGUCCGGAUUUAUUGGGCGUAAAGAGCUCGUAGGCGGUUCCGUAAGUCGUGUGGUCAAAUCUCUGGGCUCAACCCAGAAUCGCUUCCGAUACUGCGGUGACUGGAGUCCGGUAGGGGAGUGUGGAAUUCCUGGUGUAGCGGUGAAAUGCGCAGAUAUCAGGAGGAACACCGGUGGCGAAGGCGGGUCUCUGGGCCGAUAUUGACGCUGAGGAGCGAAAGCGUGGGGAGCGAACAGG
rnacentral:rRNA from 1 species